ACCAAACACAGUCCACACGAAGAAGAGAUUUGGCUUCUCUAAGCCACAUGGUCUCAGCCCACCCGACUCUGACCACACAAGCCUCCAGGCUUCCCUCUCUGUAAGGUCACUUCCUCUUCCCCAGACUGACACACUUAGGGCUGGUUUAAUG